rnacentral:rRNA from 1 species
GACGAACGCUGGCGGCGUGCUUAACACAUGCAAGUCGAACGGAAAGGCCCUGCUUUUGUGGGGUGCUCGAGUGGCGAACGGGUGAGUAACACGUGAGUAACCUGCCCUUGACUUUGGGAUAACUUCAGGAAACUGGGGCUAAUACCGGAUAGGAGCUCCUGCUGCAUGGUGGGGGUUGGAAAGUUUCGGCGGUUGGGGAUGGACUCGCGGCUUAUCAGCUUGUUGGUGGGGUAGUGGCUUACCAAGGCUUUGACGGGUAGCCGGCCUGAGAGGGUGACCGGCCACAUUGGGAGUGAGAUACGGCCCAGACCCCUACGGGAGGGAGCAGUGGGGAAUAUUGCACAAUGGGCGGAAGCCUGAUGCAGCAACGCCGCGUGCGGGAUGACGGCCUUCGGGUUGUAAACCGCUUUCGCCUGUGACGAAGCGUGAGUGACGGUAAUGGGUAAAGAAGCACCGGCUAACUACGUG